rnacentral:lncRNA from 1 species
GGCAUAAUAAUUGUACUAAGAAUUUAAAAUGUGUGUGACAUAUUUUAUACAUUAUUUAAUAUUUAAUUUUCGUGAACAACAAUAGUUGUAAUUUGUUGCUAUAUUUUAUAUGGCAUUGUAAUAGUUUGAGUAUGAAUAUUGUCGUAUUAUAUACGUUUCAAUAUUUAUAUUCAAACUCACAGUAUAUGUGUCGUCGUAUUUUGCACGACAGUUCUAUAGUUGUAAUAAAAAAGUUCAUGUCAGUAGUGUUAUUUCUGGCGACCCAUCUCCGGGGUUGGAACUGAGUGCCUCGAGGUUUUCUCCGAGGUUGGAACUGACUUCUCCGGGGUUAUCUCCGAAACUGGAACUGCAUCCCUCGGGGUUAUCUCCGAGGUUGGAACUGAAUCUCCCGGGGUUGUCUCCAGGACUGCAACUGAGUAUCUCGGGGUUGUCUUUGAGAUUGAAAACUGAGUAUCCCGGUGUUGUCUCUGGGAUUGAGUUGAUUUAACUCCCAAGGUUAUCUCUGGAAGAUGAUUUUGCCCUCCUGCAAGGUUAGUAACAAGAAUACAAAAUUUCGAGUGUCUACAAAUGUCACCUCUCUGGCUGCUCCGGGCCACAAGAAGUUCCUCGAACCGUCAUUGAAAAUAACACAUAAAUAAUUGAAAAACAUAGUAUAUUAAAAGAAUACGAACGAAUACAUCAAUAUUUUAAUUACAUACUACAUAAAAUAAUUAAAUUACUUACAGCAAUGCGCUCUACCUCAGGAGAGAUAUAACCACCUUCACCUUUCUUCUGGUGGGCGUGCCACCAAAACUCUAAGCGAGAAGGUGUGUGCUUAAGACUAGCCUCGAGUCUCUCCCUGUAUAGGUCGUACGAGUGAGACCCCGAGCAGUGUGGAAGCCGAAUCUGCUGUAGGGCAAUUGUAUGUUGUGCCGACAUCUUCUAAAAUGCAGCACCCUCCCAAAUGUUUCACAUCUGGUCCCACACUGCAGCACCAAUGAAAUCUGGUCGGAAAUCUUUAAAUGUAUGUCCAUCAGCCAUCUUGGUAUGGGCCUUUUUCUUCCAGUCGUAGACCCACUUGUGCCAAUUCAUCUCGAGAUAUUUCUAUAAAACGGUCAUGACAUGGGCUUCCUGCUCAUCCUUAAAGAAGAAAUAUCUCUGCACAUUACACAUUAAGAAGCUUAUUAGACAACAUAAAUCAAAGCAGUAAAAAAAUAAUCAAAUGGAAUAUAAAACUAACAUAUGAAUGAAUGACAUCUUACCCUAAACUCAGCAAUAAUCAGCUGACAUGUGCGGUCAUCCACAUACACCCACCUCAUCCACGGGCUUGAGAAUUGGUUGCGGACGAUCCCAAGCAACGUAUUCCUUGGCGUCGCGUCAAGGAUACUACAAUUGAAAAUAAUACAAUUGCAAAUUACAAAUAAUAUAUAAGAACUAAAUAAUUAUGUAAAACAAAUGUUAAAUGCUACACACAUAUUAUAAAAUUACAUGUUAGUCCCAACACAGCAUAUAAGCAAUGUAACGACCGAGAAAUUCGGAUCUUAUUGUAAAAUGAUUUUAUUAAAUUAAAUAAUAAUAAAAUCGUAUUCCUUGUGUUAUCAAGACGGUUGUCAUUAUAUAACCUAUUGAUGUUAGAAUGUCGUAGUAUUUGAGCUACGUGAAUGAAUUAAAGUGUUUGAAUUUCCAAGACGAAAAUAAAAGUUUUUCGAGAAAUUUUCCGAAAAAUACUAUUCAUUGAUAUUUGCUCGGGAUAUAAUUUUGAGUUUCCGAGAAAUAAGUAAUGAUGAAAUAACAAGGUAAAAUGGAUUAUGUAAUAAAAAUCUAGUUAUGGAAAAUAUAAUAAUUCGUUUGUGGACUUAAUUUAUAAACGUUAAGUAAAGCGAAGUGUUAAAGAAUAAGUAAUAAUUGUAUGAUACUUGGUAUUGUAAAAAGUAAUGAAAAGGAGUAUAAUACGAAGUAUUAUACGAGUUUGUAUGAAGGAUGAAAUAUCGUAUAUAAAUUCUAUAUGAAUUAGAAUACGAAUAUAAUAUAUAAACUAUAUGUAUAUGUAUUAAGAAAUGUUAAUGGACUUGGAAAGAUUGAUAAGAAUUAAUAUAAGUACAAACAAGCUAGUGUUUAUUAAUGCAAAGCCCAAGGAUUUAUUUAAUCCAAGCCCAAGCUAGAGUCCAAUGAAUUAAUAUACCCAUGGGGCAAAACCAUAUUAAUAUGGUUAAUGUGUGAUGACCAAUAUAAGUGGUGAUCAAGAUAAGUAAUNNNNNNNNNNNNNNNNNNNNNNNNNNNNNNNNNNNNNNNNNNNNNNNNNNNNNNNNNNNNNNNNNNNNNNNNNNNNNNNNNNNNNNNNNNNNNNNNNNNNNNNNNNNNNNNNNNNNNNNNNNNNNNNNNNNNNNNNNNNNNNNNNNNNNNNNNNNNNNNNNNNNNNNNNNNNNNNNNNNNNNNNNNNNNNNNNNNNNNNNNNNNNNNNNNNNNNNNNNNNNNNNNNNNNNNNNNNNNNNNNNNNNNNNNNNNNNNNNNNNNNNNNNNNNNNNNNNNNNNNNNNNNNNNNNNNNNNNNNNNNNNNNNNNNNNNNNNNNNNNNNNNNNNNNNNNNNNNNNNNNNNNNNNNNNNNNNNNNNNNNNNNNNNNNNNNNNNNNNNNNNNNNNNNNNNNNNNNNNNNNNNNNNNNNNNNNNNNNNNNNNNNNAAUGAAAUCUUAAGUAGUUUAUAAUUUGACAAGUUAUAAGCUCAUGAAGAAUAAGUUAAAAUCCAACAAUGAAUAUAAUUUGUUGUAUUAAGUAUGUUAGUGUGUUAACAUGAUGAAUGAAGUUCAUUUGUAAUGUUGAAUAAAUCAUAAGAAGGAAGAAUUGCCGGAAUUUGCACGAUUGGACGAUAAUCGUCGAAUUCGUAAAAUUCUCGGAAUGGAAGUCAAAUUUUGUGUUUGAACUCGUAACCAUUGUUUUCCAAUGGAGACAAGUCAUAUUUGGCAUUUAAGAGUUGCGGACUCAAAAAUGACCGGAUUCCGACUUAGAACGAAGAAACGAGCGUUGAACGUUUACGAACGUUUAUCGUUUUUGUUAAAAAUGAACCAAAGGCUGAAUUUUUAGCAAACAAAGUCAAAUAGAUAAAAUUCUUGCAUAAACGCAUAGAGUACGUAAUUUGUGAACCGCAGGCUUUUGAACGAGCCAAUUCGAACUUAUAACGAAGAAGUUAUGCGUCCGAGAAGUUCACAAAAUUUUAAAACUGAAAUUGUUUUCUGGUGCACAGAGUUGGCGCCGCGGCGCCAACCCUAGGCAAAAUGACCCACGCCGCAGCGCGGAACAGUAACCAAGCACACUGCACGAGUUCGCCGCAGCACAAACUAUAGUACAUAUGGUGGCGCCGCAGCACCAUGAACAGUACCAAAAACCUCUAGAGAGUGACGCCGCAGCGCGGCCCAAUAAGUAAGGACUCGCGCCGCAGCGCCAAGUCCGGGACAAUGACAUUAAGAGCUCGCGCCACAGCGCGAGAUGUAGGUAUAAAGCUGGCGCCGCAGCGCCAGUCUCAAAACAAAGAUAGUAAUGAAGGUUUUUAAGUACAAAGAGAAGAAAACCUAAUUGAUUUAAAAGUAAACAUAACUUAAGGAAGGUAAUGUAACAUUGUUUAAACUUUGUUAAACCUUAAGGAAUAUAAUGUAAAGGUUGGGAUUACCUAGUCGAAUAUAAAUGGAAGGGUAAUGAUAAAUCAGAACGAAUAGUAACUGAAUCUAAUACACAGUUAGAUUGAAAUGAAGGGUAUGAUAUAGUCAUAUACAUACUUGAUUAUAUGUGACCUAAUAUAAGGCAUUAUGUGAUCAUGUAUUUUAGAGACUUGAAUGACUUGAACAUAAAGUUAAUUUACCAUAGCAGACGCUAAAGGCAAGUAUUCUAACUCUUGUCUCAGUUCAAUCUGAACAAGUUUUUGAGGUUCAUGUAUUCUUUCGCAUGAAUUGAGGUAUGUUGAAGUUGAAGCCAAUUCCUUUGGCUAGACUUGAUGUAUUGAUAAUCUAUUCAUGUAUUAUCAAAUGUUGCUAUCUUUUGUCAACUACUUGAUAUGGUUUUCAAAAGAAGACUGAAAUGUUAAAGAAAUGUUUUGUCGAUAAAACGACAGGCACGUGAGGUUGCCAAAUGCUUAAACGUGCAUACGUUUAAUGGAUGUAGUGUUGAUCAACAUAGAGUACAAUAGGCUGAUCACCUAGAAGUGCUCAUAAGUGAUAUCGAGCCUACGGACUUGUUUCCGGGUUGUCCUUUUUCCAAUAAAGAAUGAAUACUCGAGGUCUUUAACCGGAGUGAAUGUUUUACUAAAUAUGGUUGUUAUUGUAAAACAUUUUGAAAGAAAAGAUGAAGUGCUAUUUUGAAUUAUCAAUAGUACUUCAUAACUAUUGUUCAGUUAUUGAAGAUAUACGAUUUGUAUGUGUCAAGCAUGUUGUUAUUAAAUUGUUAUACUUGCUGAGCUAGUUAUGCUCACUCUUGCUUGAACCAUAUGAAUGCAGCUAAGACUGAACGUCCCGAAGGAUCGAAAAAGGAUAAGGGAAAAGCUAAGGCAGAUUACUAAGCUGUCUUGUAAUAGUAUAGGUCUAUUGUUGUAAUUUAACUGAUAUUAUGACAAAGAACCUUUGUAACGGGUAUAGAACUUGGGAAAUGUAAAUAUUACUUUAAAUAUAUAGAAGUUAUGUUCGUUCUUUGAGACUUUUCAAUUGAAUGAAUGUAUGAAUGUUGUACAGUAUAGCACCAUCUGUCGGGUUGGAAGAUACCCGGAUUUGGGGGCGCUACAAGUUGGUAUCAAAGCCUAGGUUAUAAAACUUAAGGGGGAAAGUAGAACCUUAAGUCAUAACCUUACGAAAGAAUAAAGAAGUAAAAGAUGGAAAGUAACCUUAUAAAAAUGCAUUAUAUUAUGUUAUGUAUUUUUAUUAUUUUACUGACGUGUACUAAUCAAACUAUAUUGUUUUAUUGUAGAUGUCAGGAGAAAAUGAUAUGUAUAGAGAUAUACAUGUAGUGAGCGAGGAUUCAGUUAAUCGGGUAGAGAUACUACCAAAUCCCGUAGCCGUAGAACCAGAGUUGGUGACCAUCGAGUCGGGAGACUCAGACGAUUUAGACUACAUGUCUAUAUUUGAUGGCAUGCUAGAGGAGGAGGUGGACGUGAUGUCCUUUGACCAGGUUCCACCUACAGAGGACCAGGUUCCACCUACAGAGGAAAUGUCUACGGGGGAAUCAAUGAAGGCAUUGUUUAUGUCGGUAUUGGAUAGGAAUGUCCAUUACUGCCAAGAGGUUAAGGAGUUGAAAGAGGAACUCCAAGCUGUCCGUGAGGACAAGGCUAGCAUGGAGGGAAUGUGGGAAGAGGAGCAUGAUGAUAGAGUUUUAGCUAAGGACAAGGUCCGAGAGCUGAAAUGUGAAGUCUUUGAGCUCAAGCAGGAGCUAAAGACUAAAAAGAGGAAGUUGGAGAGGAUGUCCUAUAUUCAUAGGAGUUCUCACGUAGAUUUCCAGCAGCAGGUAGCUGGAUAUCAGAUAGAAGCAGGGCAGACCCGACACACUAUCAGUAGAGAUGUUAUUGCCGGUCUGGCCAGCAAGGAUUUCGAGAAUGCCCUACGACAGAUGUAGUCUAGCAAUAGCUAGAGUAGAAUAGAUAUGUAAAUAUUAUGUAUCUAGUAGUGACGUAAAACCCUCUUUUGUAUAACAAAGGGUAGUCUUUUGUAAAUCCCAAUUUUUGGAAAGUAAUUGCGGGAUGGUAAUGUAAUCAGCUAAGGCUGAGUAAUGUAAACAAUGUAGUGUUAUACUACAAGUUAUGAAUCAAUAUAAGUCUUUUUAUGGAAUAUGUUGAGUAAUGAGUAUGAGUUGUUGUUUUAUUACAAAUAAUAACAAACCAACAAGAAUAAAGUAAUAAUGAUGUGUUGUUUUCUUAACAGCAAAAUGCCGCCAAGAAGGAGACAACGAAAUCAGGGCGCUAAUGUUAACCAACCGGAGGGUGGUCCGGUUAAUCCAAUGCAGGAGUUCGUUAAUCUUUUAACGGCUGCAUUUAAUAGAACGGGGGCUAAUGUACCCGUGAUUCCUGGAGUAGUACGAGCUACUACUUUUAAGGAUUUCAAAAGUGUAGGUCCGCCGGAGUUCAAAGGAACUACGGACCCUAUAGAAGCCCAGACAUGGGUAAAAGAAAUUGAGAAAGCAUUUGUAAUAGCAAAUGUUGAGGAGGGUCAAAAGGUUGCCUUUGCAACCUAUUUGAUGAAAGGAGAGGCCAACUUCUGGUGGGAGGCAAACCAGGCUAGGGCCGAUAUAGGAAACCUAACGUGGGAGAGGUUCAAGGAGAUUUUCUUCGAGAACUAUUUUCCCACGAGUAUGCAAGGGAGGAUGGAGAUGAGGUUUCUGGAAUUGAGACAAGGGGAUAUGACAGUUCCCCAGUAUGCUGCCAAGUUUAAUGAACUGGCACGAUUCGCUCCACAUCAAGUGGACACUGAAGUGAGAAAGGCUAGAAGGUUCGAGCAGGGCUUGAAACCCUGGCUCUAUAGCCGAAUCUCUGUGUUCCAAAGUACUUCCUUUGGAACCAUACUAGAAAAGGCAAUAAUUGCCGAAGGUGGGAAUGAGGCUCUCAGCCAGUACCACAAGGAUAAGAAAAACAAGGGCAAGGUUGAUGGAGGAACCAAGACCGAGGGAGCCAGUGGAAGUGGCAACGGUCAGAAGAGGAAGGGCUUUAACUCUGGGAAUACCGGAGUAAAACAAGGGGACUCUAAGAGGAGGAUGGAGGCCUGUAAAACCUGCGGGAAGACUCACUUAGGAGUCUGUCUCAAAGGAAAGGCGGUAUGUUAUAAUUGUGGACAGGAAGGGCACAUUUCGCCUAACUGUCCCAAUCCGAAGAAAAAUCACGGAUGCUUUGUAUGUGGAUCAACUGACCACAUAGCAAAGAACUGCCCGAAGAAGGGGAUAGAAGGAAAUAAGGGAACUAAUAGCGGGAAGUUAGCUAUUAGUGGUCCAGCUCAGCCGGGGAAAUCAAUGGCCCGCACUUUUAAUAUGACGGUCCAAGAUGCGGUGGCAUCAGGGGAUGUAGUUGCAGGUAUUAUUCCGAUCAACAAUAUAAAUGCAUACGUGCUAUUUGAUUCGGGUGCUACUUGUUCGUUUAUAGCAUGUGAUUUUGCUAGACGACUAGAAUUAUUUCCCGAAAAAUUGCCUAUACCUUUGAACAUUAAGGUAGCAAACGAAGAGAUAAUUCCUGUUGAAGAUAUUCAUAGGAGUUGUUGCGUAGAUGUACGUGGUUGUAAGUUAUCGGUAGAUUUAAUACCGAUAAAGUUAGGAGAAUUCGACGUAAUUCUCGGAAUGGAUUGGUUGAUUAACCAUGGAGCAAUUAUAGAUUGCCAAAAGAAAUGUGUGAGCAUCAGGACGUUGAAGCAACCUCCUGUAGUAUUUUACGGUAGUAAAUUGCCGGGACGUCCGUGUUGCCUUACGAUGACACAAACUAGAAAACUUUUAAGGAAGGGUUGUGUAGGUUACCUAUGCCAUGUUGUUGAUACCCAGAGAGUGGGAGCAACCAUGGAACAAAUACCUAUAGUAAACGAAUUCAUGGAUGUAUUUCCAAGUGAGUUACCGGGUUUACCGCCGGAUAGGGAGAUCGAAUUUGUGAUAGACACUGUGCCAGGAACGGCACCGGUCUCAAGGGCACCGUACCGUAUGGCGCCUGUGGAAAUGAAAGAACUAAUGGUUCAGCUACAGGAACUAUUGGACAAGAAGUACAUUCAACCAAGUGUUUCGCCGUGGGGAGCACCGGUGUUGUUUGUCAAGAAGAAAGACGGAUCGUUAAGGCUUUGUAUCGACUAUCGGGAGUUGAACAAGUUAACGAUAAAGAAUAAAUACCCAUUGCCCAGGAUCGAUGAUCUCUUUGAUCAAUUGAAAGGGGCAAAGUAUUUUUCUAAAAUAGAUUUGCGGACGGGGUAUCAUCAGUUGAAGGUUAGGAAGGAAGAUGUACCAAAGACUGCAUUCAGGACUCGUUAUGGUCAUUACGAGUUUCUGGUGAUGUCAUUUGGGUUGACGAAUGCACCUGCUGCAUUUAUGGAUAUGAUGAACAGAGUGUUCAAACUAUAUUUGGACAAGUUCGUCGUGGUGUUUAUCGAUGAUAUUCUAGUCUAUUCUAAGACGCCAGAAGAUCAUGCCGAACACUUAAGAUUAGUGUUGGAGACACUAAGGAAGGAGAAGUUAUAUGCGAAAUUCACCAAUUGUGAAUUUUAGCUGGAAAAGGUGCAGUUUUUAGGUCAUGUCAUUGACCAAAAGGGGAUUUUAGUGGAUCCAGCGAAGGUGGAAGCAGUAAUGAAUUGGGAACAACCGAAAACGCCGACUAAGGUGCGGAGUUUCCUAGGGUUAGCAGGGUACUAUCGAAGAUUUAUCCAAGAUUUUUCGAAGAUAGCUACCUCGUUGACUAAUUUCACAAGGAAGACGGUGAAAUACGUAUGGACGGAUAAAUGUGAAGACAGUUUUCAAGAACUGAAGAAGAGAUUAAGUGAAGCUCCUGUUUUGUCAUUGCCAGAUGACACAGGAAAUUUUGUAGUGUAUAGUGAUGUUUCGCAUAGAGGACUUGGUUGUGUGCUUAUGCAGCAUGGCAAAGUCAUUGCGUAUGCAUCUCGGCAGUUGAAGGAUUAUGAGAAAGUUUAUCCUACUCAUGAUCUGGAACUGGCCAUGGUAGUGUUUGCCCUAAAGAUAUGGAGACAUUAUCUUUAUGGGGGAAAAUGUGAGAUAUAUACGGACCAUAAAAGUCUAAAGUAUAUCUUCACUCAGAAGGAGUUGAAUAUGAGAUAGAGAAGAUGGUUGGAGUUGAUAAAGGAUUAUGAUUGUGAAAUCCUGUAUAACCCUGGAAAGGCCAAUGUAGUUGCCGAUGCCUUAAGCAGGAAGGUUCGGAAAAAGUUAUCUAUGUUAACGGCUCAAAAUGAGUUAAUAACAAAGAUGGCUAGGAUGGAAAUAGAAGUGAAGAUGCCGAGUGAUUCGGGGCAGUUACUCUUUGCGACGGAGAUGCAAUCUACCAUCGUAAAAAGAGUCAAGGAGGUACAACUCAAAAUGGAUGAGUGUAACCAAAUGAAGAAGCGGUUAUCUGAGAAGGAAGAUGUUAAGUAUAGUCUUGAUAAUAAGGGAUUAUUAAGAUUUGAGGGAAGAAUUUGGGUUCCGAAUGAGACGGAAUUAAAGGAGCAAGUGUUAUAAGAAGCUCAUAGUUCGAGGUACUCGAUACAUCCUGGUAGCACUAAGAUGUAUCAAGACCUUCGACAGAGUUUUUGGUGGCCAAACAUGAAGAGAGAAAUAGCAGAGUAUGUGAGUAGGUGCUUAACUUGUCAAAAAGUUAAGGCCGAACAUCAACGACCCAGUGGUUUAUUACAGUCAUUGGAGAUUCCAGAAUGGAAGUGGGAGCAUAUCACGAUGGACUUCGUGGUGGGACUUCCGACGACGCAAAAAGGGUACGAUUCGAUUUGGGUAAUAGUGGACCGGUUGACGAAGUCGGCUCACUUUUUGCCAAUUAGGGUCAAGUAUAACUUAGACCAGUUAGCUAAACUUUAUGUUAAGGAAAUCAUUUCCAGACAUGGAGUACCGGUAUCGAUUGUGUCAGAUCGUGAUCCACGAUUCACAUCGAACUUUUGGAGGAGUUUGCAAGAGCAGUUGGGAACACAGCUGAGGUUAAGCACGGCUUAUCAUCCACAAACUGAUGGGCAGAGCGAAAGGACAAUUCAGACGUUAGAAGACAUGUUGAGGUCUUGCGUCAUGGAUUUCAAGGGUAGUUGGGAUGAUCACCUACCACUAGUAGAGUUUGCAUAUAACAACAGUUAUCAUGCAAGCAUAGGCAUGCCGCCGUACGAAGCUUUGUAUGGAAGAAAGUGCAGAACACCUUUGUGUUGGGAUGAGGUGGGAGAACGCCGGAUGCUAGGACCAGAAUUGGUGCAGCAGACAGCGGAUGUGGUAAAGUUAAUUCGGAUGCGUCUCGUCACAGCUCAGGACAGACAGAAGAAGUAUGCGGACUCACAUAGACUAAGUCGAGAGUUUGAGGUGGGCUCGUAUGUGUUUCUAAAGGUAUCUCCCUGGAAAGGAAAGAUACGCUUUGGAAAGAAAGGAAAGUUAAGUCCAAGGUUUAUAGGACCUUUUGAGGUGUUAAAACGGGUGGGAGAGGUAGCUUAUAUGAUAGCAUUACCUCCAGACCUAGAACGAAUACAUAACGUGUUUCACGUAUCUGUAUUACGUCCAUAUAAGCCGGACUAUAAGCAUGUAAUCGAGUAUGAGCCGAUUCAUAUCGAGAAAGACUUAACAUAUGAAGAGUCGCCGAUGCAGAUCAUUGAUAGAAAGGAACAAGUUCUGAGGAACAAGGUAAUACCAUCAGUAAAGGUAUUAUGGAAGAACCACGAUGCUGAAGAAGCAACGUGGGAACUAGAAGAAAAGAUGAAGAAAAAUUUUCCUCAUCUAUUUGAUUAAAGUAAGACGAGAUUCUGGGGACAGAAUCUUUAUAAGGGGGGAAGAAUGUAACGACCGAGAAAUUCGGAUCUUAUUGUAAAAUGAUUUUAUUAAAUUAAAUAAUAAUAAAAUCAUAUUCCAUGUGUUAUCAAGAUGGUUGUCAUUGUAUAACCUAUUGAUGUUAGAAUGUCGUAGUAUUUGAGCUACGUGGAUGAAUUAAAGUGUUUGAAUUUCCAAGACGAAAAUAAAAGUUUUCCGAGAAAUUUUCCGAAAAACACUAUUCAUCGGUAUUUGCUCGGGAUAUAAUUUUGAGUUUCCGAGAAAUACGUAAUGAUGGAAUAACAAGGUAAGAUGGAUUAUGUAAUAAAAAUCUAGUUAUGGAAAAUGUAAUAAUUCGCUUGUGGACUUAAUUUAUAAACGUUAAGUAAAGCGAAGUGUUAAGGAAUAAGUAAUAAUUGUAUGAUACUUGGUAUUGUACAAAGUAAUGAAAACGAGUAUAAUACGAAGUAUUAUACGAGUUUGUAUGAAGGAUGAAAUAUCGUAUAUAAAUUCUAUAUGAAUUAGAAUACGAAAAUAAUAUAUAAACUAUAUGUAUAUGUAUUAAGAAAUGUUAAUGGACUUGGAAAGAUUGAUAAGAAUUAAUAUAAGUCCAAGUGAAUUAAAGGAAGAGGCCCAAUAAUUGAUUAAUGAACAAGCUAGUGUUUAUUAAUGCAAAGCCCAAGGAUUUAUUUAAUCAAAGUCCAAGCUAGAGUCCAAUGAAUUAAUAUACCCAUGGGGCAAAACCAUAUUAAUAUGGUUAAUGUGUGAUGACCAAUAUAAGUGGUGAUCAAGAUAAGUAAUGACCAAGUAAUGUGGUGACCAAGACUUUGAAUUAAUGACCAAGUUAAAUGAGUAAUGACCAAGCAAAGGAUGGGUUUUGUGCCUUGCAAGUAAUGAAUAGUAAGGAGGUGGCUUGAGGAGGUGGGAUGGUUUAAUGACUAAACUACCCUAGCUUUGCAAUUUCUAUAAAUAGAGGAAGCUUACAAGCCAUUUGUUGGUUGUUCAAAUAAUCUAAGACAUCACAAAGUGCUUAAGUGUUAGAGAGUUUAAGUCACAAAUAAGUUACUUCCAUAAGUAAGAAGAAGAAGAAAGCUACCUUACCAAGACUUCAAACGAGUAAGAUUUCUUCUCAAGUAUCUUCUAUCUCUACCAUGAUAGGAUGAUAAGAAAAGUUGGAUUAAGAAACAUGAAUGAGUAAGUAGUGAACUUAAGCCAAUUAAGUUGGUAAUAAAUCAUUUAAGCUAGCAUAAUAUGAACUUGUAAAGAGUUUAUUAAGAGAAAUGAUAUGAAUAUAAAAGAAUUUAUAUGAUCAUAUGUAUCAUGUAUACCUAAGUUAAGUUAUAUGUUAAGAACAUAUAAGAAAUGAUGUUUAAGAAACUUUAAUUGUCAUAAGUCAUUAACAAUGAAAUCUUAAGUAGUUUAUAAUUUGACAAGUUAUAAGCUCAUUCAGAAUAAGUCAAAAUCCAACAAUGAAUAUAAUUUGUUGUAUUAAGUAUGUUAGUGUGUUAACAUGAUGAAUGAAGUUCAUUUGUAAUGUUGAAUAAAUCAUAAGAAGGAAGAAUUGCCGGAAUUUGCACGAUUGGACGAUAAUCGUCGAAUUCGUAAAAUUCUCGGAAUGGAAGUCAAAUUUUGUGUUUGAACUCGGAACCAUUGUUUUCCAAUGGAGACAAGCCAUAUUUGGCAUUUAAGAGUUGCGGACUUGAAAAUGACCGGAUUCCGACUUAGAACGAAGAAACGAGCGUUGAACGUUUACGAACGUUUAUCGUUUUCGUUAAAAAUGAGACAAAGGGUGAAUUUUUACCAAACAAAGUCGUAUAGAUAAAAUUCUUGCAUAAACGCAUAGAGUACAUAAUUUGUGAACCGUAGGCUUUUGAACGAGCCAAUUCGGACUUAUAACGAAGAAGUUAUGCGUCCAGGAAGUUCACAAAAUUUUAAAACUGAAAUUGUUUUUUGGUGCACAGAGUUGGCGCCGCAGCGCCAACCCUAGGCAAAAUGACCCACGCCGCAGUGCGGAACAGUAACCGAGCACACUGCAAGAGUUCACCGCAGCGCGGCCCAAUAAGUAAGGACUCGCGCCGCAGUGCCAAGUCCUGGACAAUGACAUUAAGUGCUCGCGCCGCAGUGCGAGAUGUAGGUAUAAAGCUGGCGCUGCAGCGCCAGUCUCAUAACAAAGAUAGUAAUGAAGGUUUUUAAGUACAAAGAGAAGAAAAUCUAAUUGAUUUAAAAGUAAACAUAACUUAAGGAAGGUAAUGUAACAUUGUUUAAACUUUGUUAAACCUUAAGGAAUGUAAUGUAAAGGUUGGGAUAACCUAGUCGAAUAUAAAUGGAAUGGUAAUGAUAAACUGGAAUGAAUAGUAACUGAAUCUAAUACACAGUUAGAUUGAAAUGAAGGGUAUGAUAUAGUCAUAUACAUACUUGAUUAUAUGUGACCUAAUGUAAGGCAUUAUGUGAUCAUGUAUUGUAGAGACUUGAACGACUUGAACAUAAAGUUAAUUUACUGUAGCAGACGCUAAAGGCAAGUAUUCUAACUCUUGUCUCAGUUCAAUCUGAACAAGUUUUUGAGGUUCAUGUAUUCUUUCGCAUGAAUUGAGGUAUGUUGAAGUUGAAGCCAAUUCCUUUGGCUAGACUUGAUGUAUUGAUAAUCUAUUCAUGUAUUAUCAAAUGUUGUUAUGUUUUGUCAACUACUUGAUAUGGUUUUCAAAAGAAGACUGAAAUGUUAAACAAAUGUUUUGUCAGUAAAAUGACAGGCACGUGAGGUUGCCAAAUGCUUAAAUCUGCAUACGUUUAAUGGAUGUAGUGUUGAUCAACAUAGAGUACAAUAGGCUGAUCACCUAGAAGUGCUCGUAAGUGAUAUCGGGCUUACGAACUUGUUUCCGGGUUGUCCUUUUUCCAACAAAGAAUGAAUACUCGAGGUCUUUGACCGGAGUGAAUGUUUUACUAAAUAUGGUUGUUAUUGUAAAACAUUUUGAAAGAAAAGAUGAAGUGCUAUUUUGAAUUAUCAAUAGUACUUCAUAACUAUUGUUCAGUUAUUGAAGAUAUACGAUUUGUAUGUGUCAGGCAUGUUAUUAUUAAAUUGUUAUACUUGCUGAGCUAGUUAUGCUCACUCUUGCUUGAACCAUAUGAAUGCAGCUAAGACUGAACGUCCCAAAGGAUCGAAAGGGGAUAAGGGAAAAGCUAAGGCAGAUUACUAAGUUGUCUUGUAAUAGUAUAGAUCUAUUGUUGUAAUGUAACUGAUAUUAUGACAAAGAACCUUUGUAACGGGUAUAGAACUUGGGAAAUGUAAAUAUUACUUUAAAUAUAUAUAAGUUAUGUUCGUUCUUUGAGACUUUUCAAUUGAAUGAAUGUAUGAAUGUUGUACAGUAUAGCACCAUCUAUCGGGUUGCAAGAUACCCGGAUUUGGGGGCGGUACAAGCAACGCCUGGGGGGAUUCCCUAGUAAGCCACGUACUAGUCCCCGCGGAGGCCUACGUCGAUCACCUAUGUAGUGAAAUACAUUAAUAUUUAUAUAAACAAAUAUAAUGUCAAUACUAUAUAAAAUUAAAACAAUAAGAUGUAUAACAACUUAACAUGUAAUUAUACCCGAUGAUCCGGCCUGAUCAUCACCCCCACUACCUCCACGGCCCCCACGACAUGUACUACCAGCACGCCCACCACGAUCGCCUUGUGAUGUACGUGCCAUAUAUAUAUAUAUAUAUAUAUAUAUAUAUACUUUCAAUCAUCAACAUAAUAUUAUUACACAUUAUAACGCCCCCAAAUCCGGGUAUCCGUUACCUCGAACCUGGUGUGUCACGAUACUACCUUCGUCUAACUAUUAACAACUUUCUUUCAUAAUUUAAUGAAUACAACUUAACCUUGAUACUGAUUAAUACAUUCAUUCCUUUCCAUUUCCAGGAUUUAUGAAUCGAUCCCAAAACCUUCAUAAAUCAAUUCCCAAACUUGAUCACUAACUAUUCUUGUUUUUACCUCAUAUUCGAUGUUAUACUUAAUAAGAUGUGGAAUAAUUAAAACAUUUCUGAAUUCUUUAUUCAUUUCCCUGGAUCACAACCUUCAUCAUUUACAUAUCUCUAAAUCAAAUUUAUCCUAUGCUUCGAUUCAUAAGAGUUACAUUAAGAAAUUUACAUCUUAGUUCGAUGUUCUUUUUGUGUCGAAUUGUAUGACUUUACAGCUCUACAAGAGUUAGACAACUAUCAAAUACAUCAUCUAAAACCUAAAUCAUGGUUCAAAAUCAUAUCUUCAGGUAAAAAAAUCAAUCUGCUUGUGAUACUAUUGAACUUUAUUAAUCAAGCAGCAUAUAACUUUAUCGUGAGUCCUUAACCUGCAAAAGUGGUUAUUUACAAGGGUGAACUCGACAACCCAGCAAUUCUAACAGUUUUCAUGCAUCACAUAACACAUUAUAUUAUGUGCAUUUUAUAAAAUCAUAAUCAUUUAAACUCGAUACGCAUGUUGCUCCUCACAUAGCAAGUAUAGAGAUUAUCUUCUAAAACACAUAGUCAUAGAUUUAUUUUUCAAUCUCAUACAUAUAUCAUAGACAUUUCCACAUUUCAUGGCAUAGAAAAAUGCAUUUCAUACAUAUCUCAUAUGCAUUUCAUAUGUAAUUUAACAUUCCAUAUCAUAACAUAAAUUAAUCAACAGUUAUCAACAUUAUAGAGCAAAUAAGAAUUGAAAGACUUGUCUGGCUCGUAGAUCACUACAACUUAACUGCUAAUCAUUAUCUGCACUUCGUGUAUUCCUACACAAUCGUAUAAUCAUGGAUUCAUACACAUCAGUCAUAUACAUUCAUAUAUUCUCAAUGUAAUAAUAAAUUUUACAUUGUUUCAUUUCACUUCUUCAAUAUACUCUUAGGAUAGCUAUGUUGCUAGUUCAUUCUACACUCAUGCUUAUUCUUUCGAAACAAUCUUAUUUCAUCUUUUAUGGUCUUAAAGUAUAUACAUAGACAUGCUCUAAAUUAUAGACAGUUAACAAACUAUUUUUGACCGCUCUGCAGCACGGCGCGACCGCGCUGAAAAUAGGCUUGGGAGUGGCGCAGCCACGCUACUCCCUACAAAAAUCAGAAUAGAGAUUUUCAAAGUCCAGUCUCUUGAGAGCACACUAACAUCCUCGAACACAAUAAAGACAGUGUUUAAACUGGAUUUGGUUUCCCACAUUUGUUUACUUUGAGGUUAACUUUUAAAACUUUUAGUUUUCCUUUGAAUUCAAUUGCUCAACUAGGAUCAACAUGUUCAAUAGUCUAUGGACCAAGUUGAACACCAUCUCAGGUAUCUAAACACAUGUUGAGAUAAUACUCAAUUCAAGCUUAAAUAUUCCCUUUUCAAAACUCUUUAAUCAAGACUAAAUAGGUUUAUUCAACAAAGGACUAGCAAUGUUAAUCAUUAAACCACAUAACGAUACUAAACAAUCCUUAAUACGCAUGCUCAUGUGUAUCAAACUCAUUUACACAUAGUUAGUAUAGUCCUUUCUUUAAACAUGCUUGAAUAGCUUAUGUCAUGCUUAACUAAUUGGAUGCACAUAUCAUUCAUGCUUAAAGGCAUAAAAGUACUAGUAUGCUUGAACAUAAGGUCAAAAUACAAAGGACACCAUGUUUAUUGCUUUUCAAAACUUAUAAGUUUUCUUUUCAAACUCAUGUUAAACCCAACUAAUGUGCAAAGUAAUUUCGGAUCACAUUCUAUAUACCUAAGCCCUAUAUGCACGCUCACAAUUAUAUAACUCAUUUACAUCUAGGUUGAAUAGUUUAACACUUAAAAUCUCAUAAUAAACCAUGCUUGAAAAGUCUAAAUCAUGCUUAGCUAGAUGGUGAACAUAUCUGUCAUGUCUAGAGGUAUAAAAUACCCUAGCAUACAUGCUUGAAAGGUCAGAACUUAAAGGAUAUAAGGUUCGUCAUGCUUUGCUUUUUAAAACAUCAAGUUUUCCAUUUUAAAAUCAUUAUAAACCAAACUAAUGCAACUCAUUAUUGCAAAGCAACUUUAAAUCACAUGUUAGAUCCCUUUACAUACUUAGUUAAGUCAAAUUAACAUGUUCAAAAUAACAAGGGAUAAACAAAAUUGGAAUUCAAGACUAGCAUAUAGCGCGGCCGCGCCACUUCGGUGCAAGCCCAGACAUGGCCUCUACUUUGCAAAUUCCAGUCCAAACAACCAUUACACUUCCAUUUAUCUGCUCAAAACAUUACAUUGACACCAUAUCGAACAUACAACUCUGAUAAUACCAUGACAUUCAAUUUCCUAAGAAAUUCAUGCUAAUUCUCAAGAAUUUAUCAACUUAAAAUUAAUAACAUUCAUAAAUACAUUACCUCCUUUGAAAUUAAAUUGGAAAUCCUUGCUUCCAACUCAGAUUACUCACACUAAUAGCCACUCACUUAUUAAUUAGAACUUAUCAGACAAUUUCAACAAGUUCACUUAAGGAGGAGUCUCCAUUUAUAGAGAAAUCAUUGUCCAUACAAUACCUUUACCCAUUGUUUUUUUAUUUACCAAGAAGAAGAAGAAGAAACUAAAGGGUAGUGAAGAGUUGGUAACCUACUCCAUCUUCCUCCAUUCCACACGUUAUUAUCAGCUCUAUCAACAGUAAAUAGGACUUGGAUAGGCCAAUGGCCUAUUACGGCUAAUAUAAGAAAAGGGACAAUGAUAUUGGGAUAAGCCACAUCACUUCUUUACUUACUAGUAAAAUGGUCUUCAUUCUACCAAAGUAAAUUCAUUUUGGACUUAUUAAAUCAAUUAUAAUGACUUAACAUUAGUACAUUAAAUUAAGCUAUGGGUACAUACACACACUGCCAUGUAUGUACCCCCCACAUAUAAACAAGUAUACUCAUACUUAAAUAUACCGCAACACAUUUAAUCAAGUACCUCAGGUACACAGAGUUAGUCCAAAUAAUAUUUUAAUUGGGUUAAAUAUAAUUCAGUUGGGUACUCUCAACCCAUUAUUUCCUAUCACACAUAAAUAUCACAAUGAUUAAUAUCAAUCAUUUAUUCUGUUUCCAUUAAUUCUCUUUUAACAAUUCCAGUUAAACUUUUAGUCUGGUUUAACUUUAAUACUCAUGCCACACAAGCUCAUUUAUCCCACUUACUUGAGUUAUAUAAUUCAAGUUCAUAAUCCCAAUAAUAAAAUAUUAGGCGUUUAGGCCAUGUUUGACUUUUUUCCAAUUCCAUGUUAUUUUAAUAUUUAUUAAAUAUAAGGUAUGUGUGACACACUUUACUUUUAUACUAAAUUGUUUUAGCUACCUUGAAUAAUUAUACAAUUAUAAUGUGUAUAACUAUUCCACUAAACUUUAUGAGAUUAUACUCAUAACAUCUCUAAUUAAAAUAACCACUUCUCUUAGAAUAAUUAGUAUGUACUACACUAAUUACUAUAUAAUAUGAUUGUUCAAUUCCCUUCCUUUUAUAAAAUGUCCCACGAAAACUUCUUCAAUCUAUACAUUUAGCCACAUCUUAAAUAUUAAUCUAAUAUAUAAAUCUCUAACCAAUAUUCACUUAUAUAUAUAUUGGUUUUCUUAUAUUAUCCAUCACUUAUUUUCCAUUAACAUCUUUUGAAUAUUACACCCUUUCAUAUAUUACCAUACUAUGUAAUAUAUAAAAAAUUUACAAUCUUAAUUAACAUAUUCCUUUCAUCCUCUUUAUGCAAAACACAUAUAUUAAUUCACCAUCUUAUGUAAGUGAAUUAACCCUUUCGUUCAAUUUACUAUCACGCCACUGCCACACAAGGCUUUAGCAUUAUAUUAUAAUAUUACAUAAUAUAACUUAAUUAACCAAUAUUUAUUUCGGGUUAAUUAAUUUCCAUAAUUAAUUCUCAUUCGAUUCAUGCUUUGCUAUCUCAAUCCAUUCAUGGACACUAUGAAUAUCAAAUAUGACCCAUAUGAUAACAUAUUAGCCACUAAUAUACAAUUCCUAUAGUUCAGAUUACACAACUCAUCAUGAAUCGUCUGCUGACCGACGCGAUCGCGUUGGUCUUAGGCUUGAGAGUGGCGCGGUCGCGCCACCUCAAGUUCAAACGCAGACAUGUUCUGCUUCAACAGAAACAGAAACUUUACUCACAAAUUAUUUACAUGCUUCUUAUAUACUAACUUAUUAUACUAACUAAAAUCAAUCUCCUUUUUUGACUUUACAAUAUCAAUUACUACAUUCUUCAAUAAUUUAGAGAUUAAACUUCAAGUUCAAACUCUUCUUUCUUUAAUAGUUUAAUUAACUAUAAAAUCUCAUAUAUAAUUUCUUCCCACAUAAUCCAAAAUUCAAAAUAUAUAAUACAUAUAUACAUUCAUAUCUGAACCCGACAUAUCCUAUAAUAAGAACUUUAUUUACUAACUCUUAUUUUAAUCAUUUCUGAAAUUUUGGGUUAUCACACACAUUCGUAAUCACAGUAAUUUUGAACAAUAACAAAGAUGAUAACAUAAGGAUACAACUUAGAAAACAUAAAUAGUAACCUAAAACCACUAGCACCUUAAUUAGCAGAAUAAUAUAAGUUUCAGAUAAUGAUUGCAGUACUACAAACUAUUACAUUUGAAUACAACUAAAAGGACAUAAAGAGUACAUACUCUUAAUCAUUUAUAUCAUCAAAGCCAUCAAUAUCAGAAUCGUCAUCUUCAAGCAGUAGAUCUUCAAUAUCGUUGUCAUCACCAUCUUCGUCAUCCUCAACAAUUUCUUCAAUUAUAUCUUCCUCCUCAACAACAGCGACGACAUCAUCCUCGUCUUCACUAGACUCACUAAUAAUUGUCAUAUCAACAGGUGUGACACUAGUAGACUCGACUUGUAAAGGUUCAUCUUCUGGACGAGGAGAUGUACCUUGAAAACCACGCGCUUUGGUGGUUAUAACAGCAUACCAUGAGCUUGCAGGAGUCUUAACACUCCGCGCGUAGCACACCUGCGUUGCUUGACUUGCUAAAAUAAAAGGCUCGUUUAAGUUUAGUUUUGACUUAACAUUAACCGUCACUAGUCCUGAAUUUUUAUCUACUUUUAACUUCAUUCUCAUCAUCAAACCAAUAACAAUUGAAGUAAACUAACUCUUUGUGACCCCAAUAUUUGAGAACAACAACUUCUAGCAAUAGUCCAUACCAGUCAUCCCAAAGAUUAUCAUAGUAGCUACCUUUAACCACAACACCAGAAUCAAAUGAAGCGACUUCCCUAAUAUUGUAGCACUUAAAUCUGUAAUCAAUGACAAUGCAACAUAUAUAAGUAUCUAAAGAUCUUUCAGGGCUGUCGGCUAUAAGCUUUAGCCGAAUGUCAGUUUUAUCAUCUGUGAGGACCUAAUGUACAUUAACACAACAUAUUCAAAAGUUAAUUACGCCAAAAGAUUAUGUCUAUAAUGGUAGAUACAUUUAGUUGUUAAUUAGUUAGACUUACAUGAUCUUUAAACCAUUGCACAAAUUCUCUAUUUCUCAAAUUUUGCAUAUCCCCGUCCGAUAUACUCUGAUUCUCUUCACGUAUUUCAUCAUCAUAUUGACUGCAGUACAGUUAUAUACUUAAUGUGUAUGCAAGGAACUUAUAACAGUUACACCAGACAUAUAUAAUUACGCCUACUUACUUAAUGUAUGUCUCUACUUCAUUCAUGUUGACAAGUGCAUACAAUGUGGCAGCUGCAUACUCACUAUCGGUCAAGAAUCGCCUUUUUUUUACCGCCGAAUGGUUGAACAAGAUGACUAAAGGCCGUUAAUUCUCUAUUUUCCUCAAGCGCAACAGCCUCAUUCCGACGUAAGCGAUUGUGCCUCGUCUGAACAAUCGGCUCAAAGUACAACGAGCAGAAAUUAAUAAGUUCCUCCAUAACAUAACUUUUAGCAAUUGAGCCCUCUACACGAGCUUUAUUCUUCACAUUUUGCUUUAGACGUCGCAUAUACCUAUGUGUUAUAUAUGCAUGUAUAGAUUAGUAAACAAGAAUGAACAUUUUAGCGUAUUAAAAAUAUUAAUGUCAUUACUUCUCGAAUGAAUACAUCCAUCUAUAUUGCAAAGGACUGCCAAACUUAGCUUCGUAUAGCAAGUGAAUAGACAAAUGCUCCAUUGAAUUUGGAGGGAAAAUCAUUUCUAACUUGGACAUUAUUUCAACUAUCUGCAUCUCCAUUUUAUCUAUGUCUUUGAACUGGAGCUCCGUCAAGCAUAGAUCUCUGAAGAAAUUAAAAAGUUCUGUCAGUGCUUCAACCACACGUUUCGGUAACAAGUCGAUAAAUGCCACGGGGAUCAACUUCUGCAUGAAUACAUGACAAUCAUGACUUUUUAGACCCCGAAACUUCAGCUCUUCAUUAAAUCAGUCAUUCAUUAAUUACACGGACGGUAUAGAUGCUAUAUGCCACUUAAUGAUCCAUAGCAAAUAGAUGUUAUGGAUCAUUCCCCUAUAUAUAUAUUAAUGAAUGGCUGUGAUUUGAUAUGGGAAUACGCCCGUCCACUAGUAUUAUUAGCGGACACGUGGCUAGUAUUAUUAGCGGACACGUGGUUAUGCUAAAUUCAAAAUAGUCUGUCCGCUAGUAAGACUAGCGGACGUGUACAUAUUAAACGUCCACUGCCUCAACCUGCCUUUACAUAUUAAACCACCUGUUUACAACCUGCCUUUAACAAAUAAAAGGAGAUCCUCUUUGUACAUAUUAAACUACCUGUUUACAACCUGCCUCCUGCAACAUCACAGCAAUACCUCCUAACGACAUCACAGCAACAUAAACCUCCUUCAACAUCACAAACACAGCAAAAUAAAAUCACAGCAAUAUAAAUGUUUCAUUAACAUAGAUAAAUGUUUCAAGCCAUUUCAUAAAGUUGGUUUAGGUAAACCCAUAUGAUUACUUUGUUUCCUAAUUAAUUUCUCAUUUCCUUAAAAAUGUUCCUGGCAGAGUAUGUGCUUGAAAUUCAGGUGCAUUUGAAGCAGUGUAAUUUGUCAAAAACUCCCAAACUAUUUAAAAUGGAAAACGCUUAGUUGUUGUAAAAUAAAUGCAGAAGACGACAUUUCCUUUGUCCUGGCUCCUGACAUAUAUCUAAAGAAAUUUCAGUAAGAGUGGGAAAAAAGAACUCAGUUUUGAAAAGACAGAGGUCAGGGCAUAUCACAAUUCGCAAAUAAACCAAAGCACACCACUUUGUUCUAAUACCCAGCAAGAUAAAAAGUACUAACAAAAUAUGCCUAAUCUUUAAUAAGUGGAUCUAGUACUACAGGGAAAAAAAUUUAUUGUAAAUUUGGGUAAUGCCAAUGUAACACACAAUUCGUAAAUAAAACAUGUUAUUGUUGAUUGAAAAAUCUGUAAUUGCAAUUUUGAAUUAAUUGUCAAAGUGGAUACAACGAUCAAUCAGAUUCUGGCUUUUAUAUGAAGAAAAUUGUAGGGGGGAUACAACAGUCAAAUUCAUAGAUGUAUGGUGAAAAUCAAGGUUGUUAGGAUUAGGAUACUUAACAUCUUGGUAAUGAUUGUAAGAAAUAAAAGUUCAUGCAGGAGCUAAAAGAGCUUUAAGAAAGAACCUCUAGAAUUCCCACUAUUUGAACCCCCAACUAAUUAUAUUUGAUUAGUAAUUAGAGAGAGGAUUUAGGUGCUGUUUGUUUACAUCUGAUUGCCUCUUAAUGGACUGCUUCUUAUUCGCUAAGAGGCAUGAUGUUGUUUGUUUUUGUUUUUGUUAUCUCUGAAUGCCUCUUAAUCGGUAAGACAGAAAAUGAAAUCUUAAUAAUUAAGAGGUACCUCUUAAUGAAAUUUUUUUGAUAUUUUUUAUUAUAUAAAUAUAUUCAACAAUAUUAUGCACUCAUUUUUAUUAAAUUGAAUAUUUAAAAUUAUUAAAUAAAAUUUUACCCUUUAAAAUGGUAAAAUAGUGUCAUUAAGAGACAACUUACUUUUUAGUUAUCAAACAAUUUUUUAGAUUCAGACCUCAUAGCCAUUCAGAUGAUCUAAUUUAUUAAGACAUCAUAAUCAUUCAGAUCUUAAUUCUCAGGUUUAUCAAACACAACCUUACUCCUCAGACAGUAGAGACAGAAAGAGAAAGCAGGAUUCUAGCAAAUUAUCGCCCGAAAAUGGGAAAUUCUCUAAUGAAGCUCAAAUUAGACAGGUCUGGUAAAUAACUCAAAUAAACACAUAAUUAAUUAAGAUCUAGAACCCAGCAACACAGAAAUCAUAUGGGUUUACAUAGAUUUCAUUAACAUACCUCUAAAGGAAACAAACUUACCGAUUAAAUAUGCCAAACUUGUUGCCGAUUUGCUGUAUUUUGCUUCUAGGGUUCUAACCAAUUUACUCAAUUCGCAGACUGUAGCGUAUUACCUUGUAUUUGAGUUAAUAUCCGUCCGCUAGUCUUACUAGCGGAUGCUGGUUAUUAGACUGAU